CUUGCCACGAUCCUCCUGCCUCAGCCUCCUGAGUGCUGGGAUUACAGACGUGCAUCACCACGCCCGGCUCUCCCCGUUUUAAAAGUCAGAAACAGCAAGGAAAAAUCCUGAGCGGACAAACAAAAGGUGGCGCCGACCACUCGGCCGUCGGAACCUUUCCCGGUGCAGCACCCACCCCGGCCUUCCACCCUUCCCUUGCAGCGGGUUCUGCCGCGGGCGCACGGCGGGAACGCUCGUCCUCCGUGCGGGUCGCUGCGUCCAGACUUCUGUGCGCGCAGCUCUAGGGAGGCGGGCUCCGCACCGUCCCCGACGUGCAGCUGGCCAGGUCAUUUCGACUCCGGGGAAGAGCCAGAAGUUGUGUGGCUCCAGAGCUAGUAAAUAAGGCGGAUGAGGACCCGCUGAGUGUUUUUAUGAGCCUGCCUUUCCGCUGGAUGGCACCUGCAGCAGCAUUCGUUGUAUGUUUAUCACACUUCAUACAGACACCUGUGAAAGAGCACCUCCAGAACUGCUUCAGAAAGCAGCAAGGAUGAUGCAACACAGUCUGGCUAUGUACUCCAGGCUGGCCUUGAA